rnacentral:rRNA from 1 species
CACGUAGGAGACGAGCGUUAUCCGGAUUUACUGGGCGUGAAGCGCGGGUCGGUGGGGUCUUAAGUCAGGCGUGAAAGCACCCAGCUUAACUGGGUGAGGUCGUGUGAAACUGGGAUUCUCAGAGGUAGGUAGAGGCAGAUGGAAUUCCGGGUGGAGUGGUGAAAUGCGUAGAGAUCCGGAGGAACACCAGUGGCGAAGGCGAUCUGCUAGGCCUGACCUGACACUCAGCCGCGACAGCAUGGGGAGCGAACGGG